CUUUUUAUGGAAGUAAGCCCAGGGGCAGGCUCCCAGUUCAACUGGUGGCAGGAAACUCUCAGUACCAACAAGGAUCUAUGUUGCCUGUGUGCUCAGGUGCUGAGGAUACUGUGGUGAACAGCAUACCUAGGAAGGCAGGACCACCAAAAUGCACUGCGCCGCAUCCACUGUCUAGUCCUUCCACAUCCUCAAGUGUUAGGUGGACACAGAGACUGUUUCCUGGAUACCUUGCAGCUAAGUGUGGGCUAUGUGAUAGAAUCACAUUCAAGCAGUAUGAUAACAGAUGCAAAAGCCCAUCAAAGCUUUUCCCGAGAGCCCAGGGUCAGCAGAAACCCAGCCUUACAGACACACUUUUUAGAGCUCUUGACAUUUCCUCAAAGAAAGAACGGUCCUCUGUCUUUGAAGAUUGACAUUCUCUGGCACCAAGCGGGAAUACUGCUAGCAAAUCUUUUCCCUUUCUUAAAGUAGCUGUAAAAAGGAUGAUUAAACCAUAGAAAUGGGAGCAUCACUGAAAAAAAGAAGUUUUGUAAAGAUCAGCAUGGUGCAGUUCAGAGUGUUUAGGAUCUAUCAGUAUCUGGAAUCAGCAGAUACAGGUUCAAAAUCAUUCUGUAAAUGUUCCACCACUGGAAAACUUUCAAAAUAUCAGACAGCCA
ensembl:lncRNA